AUAGAACCCGCCUUCCCCACAGUCCAGGUGAACUAACACACCUCCGGCCGGUAUUUAGAGGUCACCAGCUCCUCAAGGCGCCACAAACACUUCUUUAAGGCCGCUUUCAAGACUUCUCGGAGUAGAAAGGCGCCGGUGAGCUAGCAGGGUCCCGGGAGAGUUGGAUAAGAAGCCUGGCGGCAAGUUUGUGCCGAUUGUUAUCAGAUGGCGGAAGCCAGGCUGGACGCGGAAGUAGCUGACAUUCUGGCGGGUAUGGCAGCCAAGCCGGCCAACAUACCAGAAAUCAGCGUAGACAAAGUCCACGCCCAUUCUCCCGGCAGUCGAAGGGCAAAGAAGAUGGGAACUCCAACCUUUGACCGGGACACGCCCGUCCUGUCACUCACUCCGCUCAGGGGCAGCCCAGCG